rnacentral:siRNA from 1 species
CGAUUGAGAGCAACAAGA